UGAUCCAGCCAUGCCGCGUGGGUGAAGAAGGCUUCGGGUUGUAAAGCCUUUCGGUGCUAAGAAUCUNUNCGUGUUUAUCACCACGCACUUUUGNCGGUACCCACAGAAGAAGCCCCGGCUAACUACGUGCCAGCAGCCGCGGUAAUACGUAGGGUGCAGGCKUUAAUCGGAAUUACUGGGCGUAAAGCGUGCGCAGGCGGUUUGCUAAGACAGGUGUGAAAUCCCCGCGGCUUAACCUGGGAACUGCGCUUGUAACUUGCAGUCUAGAGUGUGGCAGAGGGGGGUGGAAUUCCAGGUGUAGCAGUGAAAUGCGUAGAUAAUCUGGAGGAACACCGAUGGCGAAGGCGGCCCCUCGGGUAAUCUUGCCGCUCUBCCGAAAGUCGUCGGGGGCAAACAGGAUUAGAUACCUGUAUCACGCCUAA
rnacentral:rRNA from 1 species